rnacentral:rRNA from 1 species
UACGGGGGGAGCAAGCGUUGUUCGGAUUUACUGGGCGUAAAGGGCGCGUAGGCGGCCAGCACAAGUCAGUUGUGAAAUCUCCGAGCUUAACUCGGAACGGUCAACUGAUACUGUGCGGCUAGAGUGCAGAAGGGGCAACUGGAAUUCUUGGUGUAGCGGUGAAAUGCGUAGAUAUCAAGAGGAACACCUGAGGUGAAGACGGGUUGCUGGGCUGACACUGACGCUGAGUGCGCGAAAGCCAGGGGAGCAAACGGG